AACGAACGCUGGCGGCGUGCCUAACACAUGCAAGUCGAACGGAAUGAAGGGGCUUGCUCUUUCAUUUAGUGGCGCACGGGUGAGUAACGCGUAGAUAAUCUGCCUGAUGAUCCGGGAUAACACUUCGAAAGGGGUGCUAAUACGGGAUAAGCCCACGGGUACUUUGGUAUUUGCGGGAAAAGGGGGGGACCAUUUGGCCUUCUGUCAUCAGAUGAGUCUGCGUACCAUUAGCUAGUUGGUAGGGUAAAGGCCUAACAAGGCGACGAUGGUUAGCUGGUGGGAGAGGAGGACAAGACACAGUGGAACUGAGACACGGUCCAGACUCCUAGGGGAGGCAGAAGGGGGGAAUUUUGCGAAAGGGGGGAAAGCCUGACGCAGCAACGCCGCGGGGGUGAUGAAGGCUUUCGGGUCGUAAAGCUCUGUCAAGGGAAAAGAAGUGUAUUGCGGUUAAUACCCGUGAUACUUGACGGUACCCCUAAAGGAAGCACCGGCUAACUCCGUGCCAGCCGCCGCCGUAA
rnacentral:rRNA from 1 species